rnacentral:rRNA from 1 species
CCUACGGGAGGCAGCAGUCGAGAAUCAUUCACAAUGGGGGAAACCCUGAUGGUGCGACGCCGCGUGGGGGAAUGAAGGUCUUCGGAUUGUAAACCCCUGUCAUGUGGGAGCAAAUUAAAAAGAUAGUACCACAAGAGGAAGAGACGGCUAACUCUGUGCCAGCAGCCGCGGUAAUACAGAGGUCUCAAGCGUUGGUCGGAAUCACUGGGCGUAAGGCGUGCGUAGGCUGUUUCGUAAGUCGCGCGGGAAAGGGGCGGGCUCAACCCGCGGACGGCACAAGAUACGGCGAGACUAGAGGAAUGGAGGGGGAACCGGAAGGCUGGGUGGAGCAGUGAAAUGCGUAGA